rnacentral:rRNA from 1 species
UACGGAGGGUGCAAGCGUUAUCCGGAUUCACUGGGUUUAAAGGGAGCGCAGGCGGAUUGGUAAGUCAGUGGUGAAAGGCUUGAGCUUAACUCGGGAACUGCCAUUGAUACUAUCAGUCUUGAAUAUUGUUGAGGUUUGCGGAAUGGGUCAUGUAGCGGUGAAAUGCAUAGAUAUGACCCGGAACACCUAUUGCGAAGGCAGCAGGCUAAACAAAGAUUGACGCUGAGGCUCGAAAAGCGUGGGGGAUCAAACAGG